rnacentral:rRNA from 1 species
CCUACGGGUGGCUGCAGUGGGGAAUAUUGCGCAAUGCGCGUAAGACUGACGCAGCGACGCCGCGUGAAUGACGAAGGCCUUCGGAUCGUAAAGCUCUUUUGAUAGAGAAGAAAAUGCGUAUAAGUAACUGUUUAUGUAUUGACGGUACCUAUAUAGACAGCCCCGGCUAACUCCGUGCCCGCAGCCGAGGUAAUACGGAGGGGGCAAGCGUUGUUCGGAUUGAGUGGGCGUAAAGGGAACGUAGGCGGUUUGUUAAGUCAGUAGUGAAAGACUUGAGCUCAACUUUAGUAAGGCAAGUGAUACUGGAAUACUAGAGUGUAGAUGAGGAGGGCGGAACUCCAGGUGUAGCGGUGAAAUGCGUAGAGAUCAGGAAGAAUACCGUUAGCGAAGGCGGCAAUCUG